rnacentral:lncRNA from 1 species
UCUGAGGCAGCUACCACAUCUGGCUCGCGUGCUAGCGCCAAAGACUGCCCUCCACGCGAUUCCGCAAACAAGCCAGCCUCUUGCCGAUCUAGGUCUAGCUCUGCAAAGGUGCUCAGCUCGUUGGUCCGUGCUGCAAGGACCAGACAAGGAAAGCCAUUUCAGAGACCAGAAAACAGGUAAUUACCUGUAAGCGUUGAUUGGCCAUGCUGUAAGCCUACAGUCCUCGAUGGCCUCUCCAGGUCGCGAAUGGGAGGGGUCAAGUUACCUUACAAACAACAUUUAGCAAACAUCAUUGGUACUCCUUUUUAUGUCGACAAAAUGCAUGAUUGGAUAUAGAACCUAAAAAGCUCUUUCGACGAAAACAUUUUCGUUAAUGAAUUCUACGCUGAUGUAAUUCUACCAGAGCUUUAUGGGCACACCUGUACUUCGUUCAUCUCUGUUCCUUUUCUGGCUUUGAGCUACACAGACAGGUGGGACCUGCUUUGCCCCAUUGCCAUGGAGGCUUCUGAAUCCGCUUCUGCUAUUUGCUGCACCGCCUCUGAUUCUAUGCGUGGGGCAUCCUGGAAUGAAGUGCAGCAAUUCACAUUUUGGAAGAAAAGCCUGCAUCUGUCUUUGUGAUUCAGAUAGAGAGCACAGUGCAUGUCAAUGCUCAGCAACGGAUCAGUAUUUCGCUCAUGUGUGGGAAGAAGUGCA